AGAGUUUGAUCCUGGCUCAGGAUGAACGCUAGCGGCAGGCCUAACACAUGCAAGUCGAGGGGCAGCAUAAUCAAAGUUUACUUUGAUGGUGGCGACCGGCGCACGGGUGCGUAACGCGUAUGCAACCUACCUCGUACAGGGGGAUAGCCCGAAGAAAUUCGGAUUAAGACCCCAUAGUAUCUUUCCAAGGCAUCUUGGAGAGAUUAAAGGUUACGGUACGAGAUGGGCAUGCGUCCCAUUAGCUAGAUGGUAAGGUAACGGCUUACCAUGGCUACGAUGGGUAGGGGGCCUGAGAGGGUGAUCCCCCACACUGGUACUGAGACACGGACCAGACUCCUACGGGAGGCAGCAGUGAGGAAUAUUGGACAAUGGACGCAAGUCUGAUCCAGCCAUGCCGCGUGCAGGAAGAAUGCCCUAUGGGUUGUAAACUGCUUUUAUUCGGGAAUAAACCUCUCUACGUGUAGGGAGCUGAAGGUACCGAAAGAAUAAGCACCGGCUAACUCCGUGCCAGCAGCCGCGGUAAUACGGAGGGUGCAAGCGUUAUCCGGAAUCAUUGGGUUUAAAGGGUCCGCAGGCGGGCAUAUAAGUCAGUGGUGAAAUCCCAUCGCUUAACGAUGGAACUGCCAUUGAUACUGUAUGCCUUGAAUUCGGUCGAAGUGGGCGGAAUAUGACAUGUAGCGGUGAAAUGCUUAGAUAUGUCAUAGAACACCGAUAGCGAAGGCAGCUCACUAGGCCUGGAUUGACGCUCAGGGACGAAAGCGUGGGUAGCAAACAGGAUUAGAUACCCUGGUAGUCCACGCCGUAAACGAUGAUUACUCGAUAUUAGCGAUAUACUGUUAGUGUCUAAGCGAAAGUGAUAAGUAUCCACCUGG
rnacentral:rRNA from 1 species